rnacentral:rRNA from 1 species
ACGAACGCUGGCGGCGUGCUUAACACAUGCAAGUCGAACGGAAAGGCCCCUUUGGGGGUACUCGAGUGGCGAACGGGUGAGUAACACGUGAGUAACCUGCCCUUGACUUCGGGAUAACUUCAGGAAACUGGGGCUAAUACCGGAUAGGAAUCCUUGCUGCAUGGUGGGGGUUGGAAAGCUUCGGCGGUUUUGGAUGGACUCGCGGCUUAUCAGCUUGUUGGUGGGGUAGUGGCUUACCAAGGCUUUGACGGGUAGCCGGCCUGAGAGGGCGACCGGCCACAUUGGGACUGAGAUACGGCCCAGACUCCUACGGGAGGCAGCAGUGGGGAAUAUUGCACAAUGGGCGGAAGCCUGAUGCAGCAACGCCGCGUGCGGGAUGACGGCCUUCGGGUUGUAAACCGCUUUCAGCAGGGGCGAAGCUUGUGGUGACGGUACCUGCAGAAGAAGCACCGGCUAACUACGUA